rnacentral:lncRNA from 1 species
GGAGAUUCAAGGACUAGUAGGAUUAACAGACCCCACCACGUGCAGCUGUAAAAUGUCAGUUUAGGGUUUGAACGUUUGCAAAUUUCACUUUACUCCUGCUUCGUACCAUUACGUUUGUGAAACACAAGUAUCUCCAGAACAAUGUAAAACAAAAUGGGUGACACUCUUGUCUGAACUUCACUGAGACUAUCAUCAGUGCUUCUUUAUAAAACGUGAUGGUGGCUUUUGAGAACACAUUAAUGAUGUGUGUAUUACUUUUGGAGAAGACAUCAGAGAAACACACAGGCCAACUAGGUGUGGAAGACCAACUUCAAAACCUCAAGAGAGAAGAAAAUAACAAAAGAAAUGUAAGAGUUCUCAAAAUUUUCAAGGUAAGAUAAAGAUGAUGUGAAUAAAAUAAUGUAAAUGAGGAAAAAAUGACA